rnacentral:lncRNA from 1 species
GGACGCCCCAGAGGCCGGACCUGGGCAACCCCAGCCUGGAGGUGCCGGGGCCGGAGCUCCCAGAGGGCUGGGUGCGAGGCCUAGGCGGGGUCAGGUUCGGGUUCCUAGGCCAUAGCGGAGCUGCAGCCCAGGCGGCCGGAGCGGAACCCAGCCCCGCUCCGAGUGCCACGUCUCCAGGAACCCCCUCCUUACUCUUGGACAACACUCCGCCCCCGCCCGGGCCUCCGUCCCCCAAACCGCCCUCAUUUGUGCAGCGCCAGAUCCUUCGGACACAUCCCUAGGUGUCUCCAUCCUCAUUCGGUCCAUCCAACUCCCAGACCUCACGUCAACCGGCUGCACCCCACUUUCCAGCCUGCGCCCCAGAUCUGCAGCCUUCGCCCCUAGAUACACCCGCCUGGUGAUGAGGCGCUCCUCGCGUUCCUUCCGGGGCUCCAGGUGUCCGUGAGCCUCCCUUCCGCCCUGGCCUCCGGUCUCUGCCUUGCUCGUGCUUCUACCACCACCCUUCCCCUCCCAACCCGGUGGAUCCUCUCGUCUCCCCCAGUCUCCAGUGCACCGGCUUUCCCUCGUCCUCUGCGCAGUCCAUCUCAGCUCAUCUCUCCAAUUCAAUGCCAUCAUCUCUCCUCACCAUCUCUCGGUGCCCUGGAAUGUUUGCUGUCAGAUGUCCCCUGUGAAACCCACAAACGCUUGCGAUUUGGCCUCCUUGUUUUAUUUUGUGUAGUCCUACAACGUCUUGUUACUACCCCCUAUUACAACACUUAUAACUCAG